CCUACGGGAUGCAGCAGUGGGGAAUAUUGCACAAUGGGCGCAAGCCUGAUGCAGCCAUGUCGCGUGUGUGAAGAAGGCCUUCGGGUUGUAAAGCACUUUCAGCGGGGAGGAAGGCGCUAAGGUUAAUAACCUUAGCGAUUGACGUUACCCGCAGAAGAAGCACCGGCUAACUCCGUUCCAGCAGCCGCGGUAAUACGGAGGGUGCAAGCGUUAAUCGGAAUUUCUGGGCGUAAAGCGCACGCAGGCGGUCUGUCAAGUCGGAUGUGAAAUCCCCGGGCCCAACCUGGGAACUGCAUUCGAAACUGGCAGACUAGAGUCUUGUAGAGGGGGGUAGAAUUUCAGGUGUAGCGGUGAAAUGCGUAGAGAUCUGAAGGAAUACCGGUGGCGAAGGCGGCCCCCUGGACAAAGACUGACGCUCAGAUGCGAAAGCGUGGGGAGCAAACAGGAUUAGAUACCCCGGUAGUC
rnacentral:rRNA from 1 species